CUGCCCUAUAGUGAUGACAGGUGGACGGAAGUUGCUCCUGGUCCCAUUCGUCGGUGGCCCUGGCUGCGCGUCUCGUCGCGGUCGGGAUUCGCCCGUGCGCUGCGCUCGCCCCGCGGAACGUGCAAAAGGGUCAAAACCCUAGCCGCUUGUUCUCGUCAAGCGCGCGGCCCCUCCGCCUCGUCUCCUCCCUACUCCCUCCUCUCACACGACGCCGCCCUCGAGCCCGCGCCGCCUCGACCUCGUCUCCUCCCCGCUCCCUCCUCUACAACGCAGCCGCCCUCGAUGCGCCGUAAGGAGCAGGGCAACGGAUUGGAUCGAGGGCGCCCUAGCCUCGCCGCCGCUACACCUGGAUUCGCUAGCCGCCGCGUCGAGUCACCUCCGUCUCCGCCGCGAGUCAGCUCCACCGUUGCCGCCAGGAAUCCCUUCCCGACAAGGAAAAUUCCUAGGGAUUUGAUUGAUGGAGGCAUCACUAUUUGGCGCUGGAUUAUCCAUUUUUGCAGCACCAGCAAUGUUGUUUUUGUUUGGAAUGGCCAGUUCUCAAUUUCUAAAUUGGCUAUACUAUACUUCUUGUCAGGUUACAUUAUCUUGCUUGGUUUCAGUCUAUAUGUAGCACAAAAAUAGGUGACAUGGUUGGUUUGUAUGUUACACUAAGGAACACCACCAUAAGGAUAAGGGCAUUGCACUUCUUUGUUUAUAUUUGGUCUGUUCCUAUUUGAUUUGCUGUAGUACUUAAUUGCUACACCAUUUCAAGUUUCUUACUGUUUGCUUCUUGCUGUUUCAUUGUAUUCAGUUAUGAUAUAUUUUUCAACUAUACAAGCACUUGGGGAAGUCGGGAAAACUGAACCAAAGACAAACACUUUUACUGGUGAUGUUGGGGCUUUUUUUUUAACUGAGAUGUGAAAGAUGCAUCUUAUCCCCUGAGAUAUAUUGCCUUUAAUCUCUUGAUUUUUUUCCCUGACAUGCUAAUAUAGAGCCAGAUAUGCAUGAUUCAUCAUACACAUUACAACCAAUUAUCCAUUGGUUCUUUUGUCCAUAGAGGUGAUUUUGUUUGGACCAUUAGUCUAGGUAGUGACAUUUUGAUCGAUAAGGCACAAGUUUAUUUUCUUUUUCAUUCGGGCUACACUAAAGUAAGCAUAACCGUCAGUGAAAUGAAGGCAUACAAAUCAUGAAGUUUUUGCCUUGGCUGUGUGCCUCGUUUAGUUGUCACUUAUUUAUUUCUGGGAAGUUAUUCAAUUCUCAUUGAGCUUUCCUUAUGCUUUCCAUUGCUAAAGAAGAAAUUUAAAUACGCAAUAUUUUAAUGUCUGAGGAGGCGAGAGGAGAUGAAAAAGGGCUGUAAGGUUGUACUUUGGUGCGUCUCUGGCCAAUGAUGGCUGGAUCCAUCUGACGCUCUUCCAAGCAGAGCAGUGCAGAUUUGCUGACUGAGCAGCGGAGAAACAUGUUUCUACAAAUGUGCCAAAACUGAUGGAUUUAACUAGAGGUAUUGCACUAUUAUUCUACAGGAUGGAGCAGCAGGCAUAGAUGAAAUCUACUGCCAAUUUCUAUUGGUUGCGGCAUCUUCCGCUGAGUAACUCAACAAAACAGCCUGCUAGCAUUGAUUCUUGCAAUAAAAAAAGUCUGGCAUCAUUCAUAAAAAGCUUAUAGACAUAGAUAAUUUCUUAAUCCUGCACUGGUUCUCACCAGUGAGAUUGUAGAUGUGGUAUUUUGAGAAUACCAGUGUAAUUCACUGGUCCAAAAGCUCCAUUUCUUAAUGUGUUUUUGCAGAAUGCCAGUAAUGUUUUUCUUUUCCUUAAUGUACAAACAUAUCUAUGAGAUAUGAUUUUGGAUCUGAACUUUUCCCUGUCUGCAUCUCACAUUGUGGUAUGGUCAUGGUACAGCAAAAGGAAAAGAUGUUUAAACUUUUUUUGGGCGUCAUACAUGAAAAGUACCUUUAUUUCCAUCGAGCUUAAUUACUAAGAAAAUGUUACCACUAUUUCCUUACUAAUAAACCUAAAUGUUCUGAAAGUUCGGUCUCUUGCUCUCUUUGCUUAUGAAUCGAACACUUUCCCUUUCUUUAGUCCUUACACGGUUCCACCUCGGUUAGACUUCAUACUUUGAUGGUGUUUGUAGGUAUGAAGACUUGAAGAGUGGUCAUAAUGUUACUUAAAGGAGGCCUCAACUUGCACCAAAUACAUGGGCAUGUGCAACAACAACUUAUGUAGUUAGGAGGCUGAAGGUAGUAGCUUACUGAACUCUCAUUUCCGGAAAAAUCUGGAGAUGUCUUGUUUGUACAAUCUCUAAAGAUGGUGCUCCAUUGUUCUGUUAAUCAAGAUUUGUUCCCUCCUUUCUUACUAGCUGAUACGUGAUGACCGUUUGCAUGGGGGGUUAUGUUAACUAUAUUCUAUUCAUGAUUCAAACUGUUUGUUGGCUAAUUUAGUUUAGACAUUGUGUCCUGAGAAUCUUGAUAUCUAGCUGUAUCGGUAUAGUAUAGUUUGUGAUUUUUCCCUCUGAAUUUAUAUAUCCACUCAGGUUGGGAUAGGUUAUGAGUAUUCUUAGUGUGGAAACAGCGGCAGUGCUGUACUUUCAUCAGAUGAUGAUACGCCAACCUUGCGCCAUUUGGCUCUAUGUUACCCGAAUAAGAUAACAAAAUACACAUGCUCAAGUA